rnacentral:lncRNA from 10 species
GGGUUGUGUUGGCUCAGUCAGCUUGUUGCUGGAGCCAGAUGUCAGCUCAGAUUUUAAGUCUUUAAAUACUGCAUGUCUCUUUCCUGGUGAAAGCUUUUCUGUUUUCCGACUGUGUACCUACUGUUGAAGUUUGUUUUGUGCUUGAAUCUUCUUUUUUGUUACCUCCUGCUGAGUGAUCCCAGUUGUAUCUUUUGGUACAGGCUGAGCCUCACCAUUAGCAGGGGCUCUGGUCCUGAUGGGUCAGCAGCGCGGAGCUGGAUGCAUUGUGGCCCAGGACAGGGAGACCAUUUCCUGGGUGCCGUCCCUUUGUGAGGGGUGAACAUGAGAGUGACCCUAGAAAGACAGGCCUGAGAUUUGAGAUUAGAUGCCAGCUGUUUUCAGCCAUUACUGGGAAAGUCGGCUGCCUGGCACCAGAGACUGGAGAGUUGAGAUCCUCAUUGUCACUCCACCCUUUUUUAACGCAUGCAUCAUUAGCCUCAAGAAGAAUACUAUAUUCACAUUGCCUUAGGAUCAAGCCUCUUUCAUAGGAGGGAAGGACCAAUUAAAAAGUAAUGGCAACCUGUUCUACAACCCUAGCCUUUCCAACGGAGCUUCUCAGAGGAGUAGGCAACACCACCUCUGUGUUCCUUUUGUCCCCAACACUCUACUGAACCAUUUUUACAAAGGUCAUUUUUGGCCUCUUUGUUGCCAAAUUCAAUGGUUUUCAUUCUUUAUGUCACUUUAUCUCUGUAGCAUUUGACUAUAUUGACAAGUCAAAUGUUCUUCUUGAAGUUAUUUUCUUGGCUCUGUGUAACGAUCCUUCUUUCCUUCUCUUCCUGCCUCUCAGGAUAAUCAUUUUCAGUCUCCUGAGACUCCUCUUCCUCCUCUCAGAGCAUACACACCUACUGUUACAGCUCCUCUGUGCGGAUCCUCCCUCCAGCACACAUCUGUCUGCCUAACUCCCCUCCCGCCAGCCCUUCCUCCCUUUCCCAUAUCUGACCAAUAUGUAUGCAACUCCCUGCUAAGUAUCUCCAUACAAAACUCAAAGCACCUCCAACUCAUAACAUCUAAAACGAAACCCAUCAUCUCAUUCCAUCAGCCCCAAAGCUUGUGAUAACUCUUAUAGUCCCUAUCUCAUUAAUUAUUAUUUCCCUGGCUACCCAAGUCAGAGACCUGUGUACCAUCUUGACCUCAUCAACCCUGUGUGCCCACCCCCCAGAUAACCGACUCCAUCUCAUUGCCCUCCCUCCCAAUUGUUCAUCUAGUUUAUAGGAACAGCCUCCUAACCGGACUUCCAUUCUCCAGUCAUGCCUUCCUUCAGUCCAUUCUCUACAAUACAGAAUGGGGUCAUCUUUCUAAAGAUAUUUUUUUAAUUUUGCUUCAAAAGUGAAACUGGGCUGGACGCAGUGGCUCACACUUGUAAUCCCAGCACUUUGGGAGGCCUAGGUAGGAGGAUCACUUGAACCCAGGAGUUCGAGACCAGCCUGGGCACAUAGUGAGACCUUGUCUCUACAAAAAAUAAAUUAGCCAGGCCUGGUAGUGUGUGCCUGUGGUCCCAGCUACUCAGGAGUGUGAGCAGGGAGGAUCGCCUGAGCCCAGGAGGUUGAGCUGUGUUCUCGCCACUGCACUCUAGCCUGGGCAACAUAGCGAGACCCUGUCUCAAAAAAGAAAAAAAAAAGGUGAAACUUCCUCUGAAAUGCUUGUGAUAAAUGCAAACUUUUAAUGUGACAUAAAAGACUUUUGUGGUCUGGCAGCUGCUUGCCUUUGCUUCGUCAUGUUUCCCUCUGAUUUGCUGCCCUGCCAGUACACACAUGCUCACUCUCAUCCUCCAGCCAUGCGGAGUAGCUGGACCUGCCCCACUGUCUGACUUGCUCCUGCCUCCUAGCCUGUGUGUCUGCUGCUCCAUUUACCCAAAAUUCCCCUCCUCCCCACAUCCACCCCACCCCUCCUCCCUGGCUGGCUCCAGCUUCAUCACCAGGAUUCAGGUUCCUUGUCACUAAUCAGGAAACGUUCGAUGAACUGGUACUAUGCUCCAAGCACUAUGAUGCAUGUUAAGCAUUCAAAGAGAAGGUGUUUUUCUCCAGGCAGCUUUUCCUGUGUCUUCCAGACACAAGUUCUCUGCUCAGUAUUCUCAUGUGUGGCUUACACUAACCACAUGGUGUUGUCAUUGUUAAUAUAUAUGUUUGUAGAAAGUCAAAAAGUACUUCACAACCAAAGAAGGAGAUAGAGUACUCAAUAUAGAACAGUCUACAAACUCAUGAAUUAUCUAACGUUUACUUCAGCUUAAUUCACUCAGCUAUGGGACUUCUGUUGCCAAGGGCCUUCAUUACUAGCCACUAGUUAUAGCUGAUGUGCAGAUACAGUUCCCAAAGUCUCUACACUGAUUCAUGGUAGCCGGCCACAUUUUGUCAACAUGUUUAGGACCUUGAGGCUAUGUUGAAAGCAUGAGAAACACUUAAAACACAUACAUUGGAAUUGGGUGUAAGCAGAAUCACUUAGAAAAUCAGUCAUUGUUAAACAGUUGCUAAACUGAAAUAACCUAUACUUCUUAAAUACAUUUCAUAUUCACACAAACCACAGAAUUUUGUGAAAUUUGAUGAAUUUUAGAAAAUUUGCAGUAAGGCAAAAAAAAAAAAAGCUUAAUACUAAGACUGAAAGUGUCCUGUGGACAAGAUUAAAUAUUUUUCACCUAAACCCUCAGAUUAGGAAUUAAUCGGUUCACCACACACACGAAUUGGUGACUCCCUCCCUGAUGUUUAUAUUAGGCAUGACCUGGGCAGUAAAACACAUUCAAGCAGUUUAUGGGUCCACAUUCCUUAGGGGAUAAAAUGUCAGGAGCACAUGAUUGUUGGUGCAGCGUUUCCUAGUUCUUCACUGAUCCGUUGUCCUAACACUGAUAAACAACUUUAACAUUUUGGUAGAUUUCUUUCUAAUCAUUUUUCUAUCGAUAGAAAAAAAAGAUGGAGAUAUAUUUUACAAAGUAAGUUUGUGAACUUCAUUUUGGAUUGAACAUAUUUUCGAUUCCUCUCUUUUCCUGUUACACUUAACAUUUUUUGUUUUGUUUUGUUUAUGAAACAGGGUCUCACUCUAUCACCCAGGCUGGAGUGCAGUGGGCAAGAACACGACUCAUUGUGGCCACGACCUCUCGUGCUCAAGCAAUCCUCCCACCCCAGCCUCCCAGGUAGCUGUGACUACACGUGUGCACCACUACACCCAGCUAAUUUUUUAAUUUUUUGUAGAGACGGGGCCUUGCCAUGUUGCCCAGGCUGGACCUAAGUUUAAUUAAAAGGACGACAGCAAGACAAAAGCAAAAUGAUAGAUGUAGUUAAUAUGCAGAUUAAAUAAGCCGCAUGUGCACGAACCCUACUGCAACCCAUCAAGACAGAAAAUGAGCUGUCAAGUUACAUUUGUAGACUGAAGCGAGAAGAACAAUUUUUAAAGCAAUGUGGUACGCAAAACAUCUUCAGACUUCUAUGGAAAAUGUAAUUACCAUGAACUUGAAACCUGGACUGCUGAAAUCAUCAUCUCGAGCAAGUCCAGAAGACAGACCCUUCAGCUGAUAUGAGUGAUUCUGCUGGAGUGAAACCCUGGGGAUGCGUUUGCCAAAAAGAUUUAGGCUCCAGGAACCAUGAGAAAAACUAAAGAAUGUGGAAAGAGGGAUAUAUUUGAAACAAAACUGAGGAGAAAUAAUUUUUGUUAUACUUUACAACAGUUAUAUCUUUGUAAAAUAUGAGUUUUAGAGCUCAUAAGUAUGAAAGAAAUAAACAGCAUUUGGCAUGAGCGAGGAAAUAUUUGUGAUUAAAAUAGAUAUAAUUUACUAAAUGUCACCAUCAUAUGAAUUUUUUUUUUUUUUUUAGACAGAAUCUCAUUCUGUCACCCAGGCUGGAGUGCAGUGGUGCAAUCUCAGCUCACUGCAACCUCCACCUCCUGGGUUCAACUGAUUCUCUUGCCUCAGCCUCCCAGGUUG